GUAUAAGAGACAGCAGUCGCCGCGGGAAUACAGAGGGUGCGAGCGUUAAUCGGAUUUACUGGGCGUAAAGCGUGCGUAGGCGGCUUCUUAAGUCGGAUGUGAAAUCCCUGAGCUUAACUUAGGAAUUGCAUUCGAUACUGGGAAGCUAGAGUAUGGGAGAGGAUGGUAGAAUUCCAGGUGUAGCGGUGAAAUGCGUAGAGAUCUGGAGGAAUACCGAUGGCGAAGGCAGCCAUCUGGCCUAAUACUGACGCUGAGGUACGAAAGCAUGGGGAGCAAACAGGAUUAGAGACCCGUGUAGUCCCUGUCUCUUAUAC
rnacentral:rRNA from 1 species